CCUACGGGUGGCAGCAGUGGGGAAUAUUGCACAAUGGGGGAAACCCUGAUGCAGCGACGCCGCGUGAGUGAAGAAGUCAUUCGUUAUGUAAAGCUCUAUCAGUAGGGAAGAAAAUGACGGUACCUGAGUAAGAAGCCCCGGCUAACUACGUGCAAGCAGCCGCGGUAAUACGUAGGGGGCAAGCGUUAUCCGGAUUUACUGGGUGUAAAGGGAGCGUAGACGGGAGUGCAAGUCUGGAGUGAAAGGCUGGGGGUCAACCCCCGGACUGCUCUGGAAACUGUACGGCUGGAGUGCAGGAGAGGUAAGUGGAAUUCCUAGUGUAGCGGUGAAAUGCGUAGAGAUUAGGAGGAACACCAGUGGCGAAGGCGGCUUACUGGACUGUAACUGACGUUGAGGCUCGAAAGCGUGGGGAGCAAACAGGAUUAGAUACCCGAGUAGUC
rnacentral:rRNA from 1 species